rnacentral:rRNA from 1 species
AGUGGAUGGGGAGCAACCUAGUUGUGCGUGUGUAAAGGUAGUGCCAAGAAAAGCGAUGAUCAUGUUGAAAAUCAAUUCCCGGUACCCGAAACCGACACAGGUGGGCAAGUAGAGAAUACUAAGGGGCGCGAGGUAACUCUCUCCAAGGAACUCGGCAAAAUGACCCCGUAACUUAGGGAGAAGGGGUGCCACCGAGAGGUGGUCGCAGUGAAGAGGCCCAGGCGACUGUUUAGCAAAAACAUAGGUCUCUGCAAACUCGAAAGAGGAGGUAUAGGGGCUGACGCCUGCCCAGUGCCGGAAGGUUAAAGAAGUUGGUCAGUCUUAGGAUGAAGCUAGCGACUGAAGCCCCGGUGAACGGCGGCCGUAACUAUAACGGUCCUAAGGUAGCGAAAUUCCUUGUCGGGUAAGUUCCGACCCGCACGAAAGGCGUAACGAUCUGGGCGCUGUCUCGGAGAGAGGCUCGGCGAAAUAGGAUUGCCUGUGAAGAUACGGACUACCUGCAUUUGGACAGAAAGACCCUAUGAAGCUUUACUAUAGCUUGGAAUUGUGUUCGGGCUUCCUGUGCGCAGGAUAGGUGGGAGGCGUAGAAGGUAUUCUUGUGGGGAUACUGGAGCCAACGGUGAGAUACCACUCUCAGGAGGCUAGAAUUCUAACUUAAUUAAGGACAGUUUCAGGUGGGUAGUUUGACUGGGGCGGUCGCCUCCAAAAAGGUAACGGAGGCGUACAAAGGUUCCCUCACUGGUUGGAAAUCAGUCGAAGAGUGCAAAGGCAGAAGGGAGCUUGACUGCGAGAAGUACAGUUCGAGCAGGGUGGAAACACGGUCUUAGUGAUCCGACGGUGCUGUGUGGAAGGGCCGUCGCUCAACGGAUAAAAGUUACUCUAGGAUAACAGGCUGAUCUCCCCCAAGAGUUCACAUCGACGGGGAGGUUUGGCACCUCGAUGUCGGCUCAUCGCAACCUGGGGCGGAAGUACGUCCCAAGGGUUGGGCUGUUCGCCCAUUAAAGCGGUACGUGAGCUGGGUUCAGAACGUCGUGAGACAGUUCGGUCCAUAUCCGAUGUAGGCGUGAGAAUAUUGAGAGGAGCCUUCCUUAGUACGAGAGGACCGGGAAGGACGCACCGCUGGUGUACCUGUUAUGAUGCCAAUUGUAAACGCAGGGUAGCCAAGUGCGGAGAGGAUAACCGCUGAAAGCAUCUAAGUGGGAAGCCCACCUCAAGAUGAGUAUUCUGGUGUAAGGUCACGGGAAGACGACCCGUAAAUAGGCACGAGGUGGAAGUGCAGAGAUGUAUGAAGCCGAAGUGUACUAAUAGACCGUCGGCUUGACC